rnacentral:rRNA from 1 species
UGCAGUCGAACGGUAGCAGGUCUYCGGAUGCUGACGAGUGGCGGACGGGUGAGUAACGCGUAGGAAUCUGCCUAUUAGUGGGGGACAACGUGUGGAAACGCACGCUAAUACCGCAUACGCCCUACGGGGGAAAGGRGGGGAUCUUCGGACMUUUCGCUMUAGAUGARCCUGCKUUGGAUUGGAUURUCUGGUUGGUAGGGUAAASGCCUACSAARKCSACRAUYSWUAGMURUKMUGASAGGAASAUCRGCCACACUGGGACUGAGACACGGCCCAGACUCCUACGGGAGGCAGCAGUGGGGAAUAUUGGACAAUGGGCGAAAGCCUGAUCCAGCAAUACCGCGUGUGUGAAGAAGGCCUUAGGGUUGUAAAGCACUUUCAAUGGGGAGGAAAAAGAGUAAGUUAAUACCUUGCUUAUUGACAUUACCUAUAGAAGAAGCACCGGCUAACUCCGUGCCAGCAGCCGCGGUAAUACGGAGGGUGCGAGCGUUAAUCGGAAUUACUGGGCGUAAAGAGUGCGUAGGCGGCUCGUUAAGUCAGAUGUGAAAGCCCUGGGCUCAACCUGGGAACUGCAUUUGAAACUGGCGAGCUAGAGUUGAGUAGAGGUAAGUGGAAUUUCAGGUGUAGCGGUGAAAUGCGUAGAUAUCUGAAGGAACACCAGUGGCGAAGGCGACUUACUGGACUCAAACUGACGCUGAGGUACGAAAGCGUGGGUAGCAAACAGGAUUAGAUACCCUGGUAGUCCA